UUUUAAGCAUUAUGGUAUUAAUAGUAUCACAAUUUUGAUUAAUCCUAAAUCCAAUCGAAAACUCAGAUAACAUCUCCUCUGAAGGUUGAACAAUUUCUCCUUGGUAAAAAUAAGUAAAACAAGCAUAACAAUAUAUGUAUCACAGCCCCCUAAAAGCUAGGGGUAAGCCUUCGGUUUGAACCAACAAAACUGAAUUAACUGAAUUUACAAAUAUUACAAACCUGAUUGAAUUGAACUCUAAUAAAACCAAAUUGAAUCAAACAAGCCUAAUUCAGUUUGAUUCGAUUGGGAUUAAUCGAUUUGAGCUUCCUUCUAAAUUAUACUGAGUAAUUAUAACAUUAG
rnacentral:misc_RNA from 1 species